rnacentral:miRNA from 1 species
CUGGCCCCUCCCACAACUCCAGGCUCCGCCUUUACAUAUAUAUAUAUAUAUAAAUAUAUAUAAACAAGGGUAUGUAUACUAUGACUGGGGGGCUGUGGAAAAAAAUAUUAUAUCUAUAUAUAUAUAUAUAUAUAUAUAUAUAUGUAAAUGCGGAGCCUGGAGUUGUGGGAGGGGCUUG